rnacentral:misc_RNA from 1 species
GGAAGGAUCAUUAACACUUGAUUCUUCUUUUAAAGCCUUUGUUGAACCUGUGAUCUGUCUUUUUCAUUUUCUUCAAACCAUUCCAAAUUUCUAAUUCGUUUCAGUAAGCAGCUUUCAUUUGAGAGCUCUUAUCAAAACAAAUUUCAAAAGAACAACUGCUAGCAUUGGAUGUCUUGGUUCUCGCAACGAUGAAGAACGCAGCGAAAUGCGAUAAGUAAUGUGAAUCGUAGAAUUCAGUGAAUCAUCAAAUUUUUGAACGCAAAUGGCGUUCCUGGGUACCCCCAGGAGCAUACCUGUUUGAGAAUCAUCACCCCAUCUCAUUCCUUAUUCAUUUAAGGAUGUGGUCACUGAGUGUUCAUUGCAAAAUGUCACUUCAAGUGCAUGAAGCUGUCAAGACAACUUCAUAUUGGCUUUGGUAAGGUUGAGUUACUCAGCCCACACUCAAGUCAAUUCUGACUUCUGUCUUAAAAAACUGGCUUCUCUUCAAAACACUUUUAAUCAUAACAUGAUCUCAAAUCAGGCAAGACAACCCGCUGAAUUGAAGCAUCUCAUUAAGCGGAGGAAAAGAAACUAACCAGGAUUCCCCUAGUAACGGCGAGUGAAGCGGGAAAAGCUCAAUCUUUUAAUCGAAGGGGUCUCCUCUUCGAGUUGUAGAGUAAAGAGGCGUCUUCGGGGGAGUGCUCAGGUAUAAGUCCCUUGGAAAAGGGCGUCAUAGAGGGUGACAACCCCGUUCAUGACUUGGGCACAUUCUCCAUUUGGGACGUUUUCGAAGAGUCGAGUUGUUUGGGAAUACAGCUCUAAACGGGUGGUAAAUUUCAUCUAAAGCUAAAUAUUGGCGAGAGACCGAUAGCGAACAAGUACCGCGAGGGAAAGAUGAAAAGAACUUUGAAAAGAGAGUUAAAAGGGCCUGAAAUUGUUAGCAGGGAAGCGAUUAAAACUGGGCAUACGCCUUGGGAUUCGGGUUGGUUUCUAGAGGCUCCGGUGCAUUCAGUCGACCGCAAGGCCUGGGUGUUCCGUGGUUCUUUAGUUCCGGCCUUACUUUCUCAGGGUGUGCGUCAACAUCAGUUAGGGGUUUCGGCUAAUGGGGCGUUGGAAGGUAGGCGGAUACUUCGGUACCCGCUGUUAUAGCCAAUGCUCAGUGCCGUUCGCUUGACUGAGGAAAUGCAGUGCGCGCCAUGCUUGAGGUCUAUUCUCUGGGCUUUGGUUUCACGAAGGACAGCCUCGCUGUGCUUUGGUUACCUGAGUCUACGUGGGUGGCGCCUUUCAUACGCGUGCUCCAGAUGUUGACACAACGGUUUUAACCGACCCGUCUUGAAACACGGACCAAGGAGUCUAACAUAUAUGCGAGUAUUUGGGUGGCAAACCCAAGUGCGUAAUGAAAGUAAAGGCGCUCUUCGAGUGCUUAGGUGUGAGCAUGUGAGCAUAUUCACAUGUGCAACAUCGACCGGUCUGGAGGUUUUCUGAAAGAUCUGAGUAAGAGCAUAUCUGUUGGGACCCGAAAGAUGGUGAACUAUGCCUGAGCAGGAUGAAGCCAGAGGAAACUCUGGUGGAAGUCCGUAGCGGUUCUGACGUGCAAAUCGAUCGUCAAAUUUGGGUAUAGGGGCGAAAGACUAAUCGAACCAUCUAGUAGCUGGUUCCCUC